GACGGGGGGGGGCAAGUGUUCUUCGGAAUGACUGGGCGUAAAGGGCACGUAGGCGGUGAAUCGGGUUGAAAGUGAAAGUCGCCAAAAAGUGGCGGAAUGCUCUCGAAACCAAUUCACUUGAGUGAGACAGAGGAGAGUGGAAUUUCGUGUGUAGGGGGUGAAAAUCCGUAGAUCUACGAAGGAACGCCAAAAAGCGAAGGCAGCUCUCUGGGUCCCUACCGACGCUGGGGUGCGAAAGCGUGGGGAGCAAACAGG
rnacentral:rRNA from 1 species